CUCCUCCUGAGGUCGGGGUUACUGUGAAGGGACGGAGUUCAUGUCAGAGAUGUGCUUCCAUCCACGGGUGUCAAGCUACACUGCAGGAGGAGCCAUCACCAGGGAAGCAGGUGGCAGAAGUGAGAAGUGAGAGCUGCCACAUGACCCCACCCUGGCGUUGUGUACCUGGCACGGACAGCCUGAGCUGGCCGGGACCCUCCGGCCCCACUGGUGUUAAGGGCAGUGGCAAUAGACGAGGUUCUCUGAGGAACCUGGAAAGAACAGGCGUUGACAAGCCCUGUCAGUCAUGUGCAGAUGUCACACACAUUCAACCCCAACCUAAGAAAUGUAGUCUUCAGCAUCCACGGAGAAACAAACAGGUCAGAAAAUGAGAAGUUGUGGAUUCAUUCUGAGUUAAGAAAAAUCAGGUUUGAUCAAGGAAGACCACCUGAGAGAUCUCUGGUGGAAAGAGAUGGCCCAGAUGUCAGAGUUCUGCAUCCAGAACAGAUUCAAGAUGCUGCCUGAGAUGAUCAAGCCCCACAGGAUACUCCAGUCAGGACUUGAUCAUAAUUCUAAAUUUUCUUUAGGUCCCCAUAAGAUUAUCAGUGCCCCCAACCAGCAGAAAGAAGCCUAGAAAACCAUGCCCACAUUCCCCCCAAAAAUGGACUAUGGAUAUUUCCCUUUAUUUAAAAAAAAAAAAAAAAACAGAGGGGGAAGUGGUGUGGGACAAUAGUAUUCUGCCAAUUAUAUUUUAAAUAAACACUGAUUGGUCAGUAGCCAGACAGGAAGUAUAGGCGGGACAACCAGAUAGGAAGUAGAGUCGGGUCAGGAGUAUUCUGGGAAGAAGGAAGCUUUUUCUGCAGUUGUGAGCCCGCCACAGAAGAAGCAAGAUGUGACUGCCUUGCUGAAAAAGGUACUGAGCCAUGUGUCUAACAUAUACUAAAAUAAUGGGCUAAUAUAAGUUAUAAGAGUUAAUAAGAAGCCUGAGCUAAUGGGCCAGUUAGUUUAUAGUUAAUGUAGACCUCUGUGUGAUUUCUUUGGGACUUAACGAUUGCAGGAAUUGGGCAGGACAGAAACCCCGACAACAGCCACCUUUAUAUAUCACCCUUUGGUACCAAGCAACUGGCUCUUUCUCAGCCCCCACUGUCACUGCUGUCUCCACCCUCUGGAUGCGAACCCUUGCAUGGCUGCCUUGCUUUCUUCCUUCCCACUCUCAACUCUAUUCUCUUGUCCUUCAGGGUUGU